UACGGGGGGGGCAAGCGUUGUUCGGAAUUACUGGGCGUAAAGGGCUCGUAGGUGGCCAACUAAGUCAGACGUGAAAUCCCUCAGCUUAACUGGGGAACUGCGUCUGAUACUGGAUGGCUUGAGUUUGGGAGAGGGAUGCGGAAUUCCAGGUGUAGCGGUGAAAUGCGUAGAUAUCUGGAGGAACACCGGUGGCGAAGGCGGCAUCCUGGACCAACACUGACAAUGAGGAGCGAAAGCCAGGGGAGCAAACGGG
rnacentral:rRNA from 1 species